CGUCCCUUAUGUACACCCAGGUGCACCUAAUCACCGCCACCUAGUGUCCAAAGUGUCAAUAUAAAUACGGUGUAACAAACAAAAUAUACUUUGCCAACAACAACACAUAAUGGCUCCUACACACCGGCCCCUAAUUGUCUUUUAUAACAAUUACCAAAAAAUAAUAAGGGAAUGUGUUGGCAAUUAAUUCUCUUCACUGAUUCUUCGGUCUUCUUUUGAAGUAGUCAUUUUUAGGGCCCGGGGCUCCAAAACUUGGAACCUGGUGGUAUCUGGUCCUUACCACCAGGCCUUACUAAAUCUCAGUUUCUUUAAUCAGACAUAUCUUCGUUAUUGGUCUUUCCAAUAUGUUGGUUUUUGUCUGAAGUCGGACGGUACGCACAAGGCCUUGUGCAUCUGCUUUCGUCUCCAGUAUUCUACCCAUUAACCAGGAGCCUCGUGGUGCAGUGGAGUCGACCACCACAACUAUGUCACCUGGGGCGAAGUUCCUUUUUACCUUUGACCACCGCUGUCGUUCUUGAAUUAAUGAUACAAGUCCUCUCUUACGAAGAGUCCAGGUGGUAGUAUCGGCUUGGUUUUCAACAGAAGGAGGUGGUUUGGGGGCCGAAGUAGUCUACUCCUACGUCUGUAAAUGGAGGCUUGUCUGGUAGAAUCCUUUCCAGAGGCUUUGGAUGCGUUGCUCUGCUAUGCAACGGUUGUUUGGCAUGCGGGGAUUUUCUUGCUUGAAAGAAGGUGGCUGAGCUUCCAUGGUCCAAAAACGCAUACGUCUGCAACACAGUGUCUCCUUUGGGGGUCUUCACUUGUACUGGCACAAUAGAGAAGAGACAGGCUAUUUCACCGGCCCCAAUAUGCCCACAUGUAUGAGGUGUUGCAGUAGUUGCAAAACUGCUUCCUCUUGGUCUCGGCCUCUCUCUUGCUGUGACAUAGGGUUUGACGGAUGUAGUUGUCUUAGCAUCCUGGAUGUUCCCAAAAAGUGGAUCCGACAAUAUCUUCACUUGUCUCUCCAUGAAGUCUACCAAGUCAGAGAAACUAGCUCGACGUCCAUGUUGUUCCUGGAGCUGACAUGCCCUAUUCCUCCACUUGUCUCUGAGCUUGUAAGGCAGUUUCAGAAGAAUGGUCUUCAUACUGGAAGCGACGUUCAACUCCUCCAUAUAGGUGAGUUGUUCCAUUGCAUUGCAACAACCUCUCAGGAAUAAUGUAAACGCUUGCAAUGCUUUCACGUCCUCUGGCUUAAUCGCUGGCCAGGCAAACGCUUUGUUCAUGUAUGCUGUAGCAAUCUUAUGUUCGCUACCAAAAUGUUCUUUAAGCAGUUCUUUUGCUCUUUUAUAGCCCUCAGCCGAAGACAAAUGUUGACAGCUGUGGACUAAAUCCUUUGGAUACCCUCUGGUAUAUUGCUCUAGGAAAUGCAGGCAGUCACUGUAGUCAUCAGUCUUUCUUUCCACUCCUCUCUCGAAUGCCCUGAUGAAAACUCCAUAUUGCAAGGGAUCACCAUCAUAAACGGGAAUAUCUCUUGGUGGUAAAGUAGAAGAGAGAUUGUGUUGAGCUAGAAGAGAGGUUAUGUCACUUUGCUUCUGAAUGAUGUGAUAGAUAUCACCUUGAUUAUGAUCAUUAUAUCCAGGUUGUGUUAGAGGAGUCAUAUCCUG
ensembl:lncRNA